rnacentral:piRNA from 1 species
UAAUGAAAUGCUCUACUUUCUUAUU